AAGGGUUUAGUUUAUGUUUAAAAUGUUAAAUUGUAAAUUUAGAGAAGAUGAACUCUU
rnacentral:tRNA from 1 species